rnacentral:rRNA from 1 species
GACGAACGCUGGCGGCGUGCUUAACACAUGCAAGUCGAACGGAAAGGCCCUGCUUUUGUGGGGUGCUCGAGUGGCGAACGGGUGAGUAACACGUGAGUAACCUGCCCUUGACUUUGGGAUAACUUCAGGAAACUGGGGCUAAUACCGGAUAGGAGCUCCUGCUGCAUGGUGGGGGUUGGAAAGUUUCGGCGGUUGGGGAUGGACUCGCGGCUUAUCAGCUUGUUGGUGGGGUAGUGGCUUACCAAGGCUUUGACGGGUAGCCGGCCUGAGAGGGUGACCGGCAACAUGGGGACUGAGAUACGGCCCAGACUCCUACGGGAGGCAGAAGUGGGGAAUAUUGCACAAUGGGCGGAAGCCGGAUGCAGCAACGCCGCGUGCGGGAUGACGGCCUUCGGGUUGUAAACCGCUUUCGCCGGUGACGAAGCGUGAGUGACGGUAAUGGGGAAAGAAGCACCGGCUAACUACGU